AACGAGAUAGCAAUAUCUAGUGGCAAACGGGUGAGUAAUAUAAAGGAAUCUCCCCAGCAGUAAGGAAUAACUUUGGGAAACCAAAGCUAAUACCAUAUAUCACCGUCGCAAGACGGGAAAGAUUUAUCGCUGUUGGAUGAGCCUUUAUCGGAUUAGCUAGUUGGUAGGGUAAUGGCCUACCAAGGCAAUGAUCCGUAGCUGGUCUGAGAGGAUGAUCAGCCACACUGGAACUGAGACACGGUCCAGACUCC
rnacentral:rRNA from 1 species